UUUGGUCAACCUGAGCUGUUUAGUGAGACUGGUUGUGUGCAAAUGCUACAAGAAAAAAAAUCUUGGUGUUUUGCAAAAUCAAGGUGAGCAAGCAGUGCACAGACUAUGUCUCAUCUCUGUGCCUGCAGCUGUGUGUGGCAAGUUUACAUUAGUAAAGCAAUAAAAGUGAAUGGAGCUUUUCUUUUAGCUCAUCCCAGUCUGCACUGGUCUUUGUCACUUGUAACAAAGACCAGUGCAGUUUUGAUUUAGGUGUUUUUGGGUUAGAAAAAGACCACACAGAUAUUUAGGUUAAUAUGGAACAGUCUCCUUUGCCACAGAGGUUUGAAGCCCUGCUAUAUUUCUCUAAUUCUUUUCACCUUACUCCAUGCACAGAGCCUUCCAGUCUGGCUGUGACAUGUCAGGUCUGACGCCUUGCCGUCUCAGCACCAGAUUCCUCUUUCAGAGAGUUCUGGUGGAGGUUGCAUGGUCUCGUUUCAAAGCCAGGUCCAGGUCAAAGGUUAAAGCAGUCAGCAAACAUUCAGCUUCCCAAUACAGGCUUUAAGUUAGGCGAGGCCCUCCUUCAGCAUCAGAACACGUCUCAGAAAAUGUGCUUGUCUCCACGAAGCAGAGAAUACCUUUGUGUACACAACUGUCUACACAGUUUCCCAACUCAAAAUGUGGUCAGAAUGAUCAGACCACAAUGUCUCUGUCAGUGUCUCUUGGGUGUGUUCAUACUUGUACCUGUGAUUAAGUCAUCUUAGUGUAAAGUGCAAGCAGGGCCUGCUCGUUUGAUACGUGUGCCUUGCUUAUUCUUUGCAGCAGCCUGUCAUUUGGUGCUGUAGACUGCAGAAUACAGUGUGUCUAGGGCUUGCUAAUUUACCUCUGUAGUGAUGUCCAGUAGAUGCUUUACUGUCAUUAAGGUGAGCCAAGUUGCUGGCAUUUAGAAACCAGGACCUGUAAUCUUGAUAUGAAGUGCAGUCAUUUACCGAAGAAAAUAAAUUGUAGAAGGAUCAGUAAGGGAAGUUUGAAGAUUAUUUACCAAAGGACUGUCUGGCAUAUCCACAAGUGCUGAUACUGUGCUGAGGCUUAUGCUAAAUGUAGGUUAAGUUGCACUAAAUGUAGGGUAGGUUGUGGUGGAGUUCUGGCCCUGAAGUACAAUAAAGCCAUAGAAAUGCUCUGGGCUUUAUCUUAAAAGUGCAUGAAAAUGUGCAUUUUGUCUGACUUCAAUGACUGGGUAAGAUAUUAUGAGACUGGAAGACCUAUUUAUUUUAAAUGUGGAUGCCUGCACAUACACGUGCCUCCUGCUCUGUCUCUGUGUAACUGUGUAGUACCAUCAGAGAUCCCGAGUGAACCCAGUUAUGGUUUCCUCUCAGUAUGGAUCUUGAUUUUUUUUUUUUUUUU